CCCUAUGCCAGGGCGCUCCACGGUACCACCAGGCGCUCGCUCGCUCGUGGCUCCGUUCGAUCUGGGAACGAGCCCCGCUUCAAUCUCAACCGUCGGAGCAUGAAACAGAACCCACCCACGGCGGUAAACCCUAGCCGCCCGCACUGCCUAGCUGGUGACCCGCCCCAUCUGGAUCCUCCUCCUCUCCGCCGCCCAUCCACCUCCUCCUCUCUGCCUCGUCCUCGCUGCGUCACCGCGUCGUGCCCCCAUGAACCGGACCGAGUGGAUGUAGCGCCUCCCUUCCUCGCCGGCGCUCAGUCCGCAGACGUGACGCGGAGAUGAGAGGAUGAACUUCAGCGAGCAAGGGAGAAGAGGAGGUCGAACCACCCCAAUCCUCUUUUCCGCCCAGCGGAGGUCGCAAAGCUCCCUCUUCUCGUUGGCGACUACAACGACAGAGGCUGCUGCGUCACCGCGGGAGACGAGGGCUGCGACGGUCGCCUGAUGGGCGAGAUUCCUCCUCCACCAGCGAGUCGACGACGAAGCAGAGUGAUGCGAUUGGGUAUCUACAUCUCCCUCUCCUCGCCCCUCUCUCUCCUCUGGUUUAAUGGCAGUGUAGUUUCUGCAAUCCUACUCAUCCCUGCUACUGUUGUAGAGUUUUUGUUUUGCUGCCCGGUUAGUCUAAAAAUUGGUACCCAAACCUACUUUUGGUGGUCUCCUCGCGGGGGUUGGCUCUAGAAGCACACGUCUUGAAGAUGAUCCUUGGGGAGAUUGAGAGCUCCAGUUCAGCGCUGUCAUCGUCCAGCUGUUAAUCCAACAGGCAGAUUUUGGGAAGCAAGGUAAUAUAUACCUGGGAUUGUCAGCUCUCUCUGCUGCGUUUUGAUGAUGGACUUUAAACUGAUGAUGGUGUUGGUGUAGAUCGUCUUGGCAUUCACGGGAAGAAAGUUUGGAUGCACGAGAGCCAAGAGAUCUCGGCCGUGCCUCGUGGUAUAGGAUGGUGGUGUUGCUGGUGAAUGGUCACACGAUGGAUGAUGCCAAGCUGGUGCACUAGGACAAGGUCGGCCUUCCCGAUGGCAUUACUAUCAAGGCCAUGGACAUCUGGAUGCACAAGGCACUGGACACCAAUUUCACGGAUAAUAUAUUUUUCAUUGUCAAGGCAAAAACGAAUUAUCUCUUAUUUGAGACACACUUUUAUGGGUUAUUAGUCUGCUGGUCUAGGGAGACUUUUGUUGAGCAUUUCGUGUCUACACUUGGCACACACACUGCACUCAAUUCUAUUGGCUUCUUGAAGGGCAACCUUUUGGUGAGUCAAUUUUUGCUUGAGAUUCUAGAAUCCAUGUCAAAUCUCAGGUAACAAAUUGGAAUCUUUAAUGUAGGUUUUGGUAGGAUAUCUUUUCUUCGGUUUGGUUAUCAAUUUUAUUCCAGAGCCAACCUUUGUGCCAGCCACUGAUACAAGCAAGAAUGAAGUUGGAAUGAACAAUCUUCGGGGAUAAGUACAACAUCAUAAUUGUUUGUUUUCUUAUUAAAAUAUGAUGAUUGGGUAGAAUUUAGUUUGUUUAUGUGGAAAGCAGACUCAUGAUAAUGAUUUGGGGUAAAUAUAUGAACAUAUGAUGAAAAAGCAUCACCGGAAAGUGUUAUUCAGGGAUAUCAUCAUAGAUUUUGGUAAGAAACUAAGAAUGUGUUUAAAUCAAUAAGCUCGCCUGUUUAUUAGGCCUGCACUUGUCAAACUUUAUUUUAGGUGACAUUAUUAUUUGAACUAUUUCAUGCCACAUGAUAUUCCAUAAUAAAAUUCUGUGAAGUUUUGCUUCCUUGAAGCUAUAAUCAUUUGACUAAAUACUUACUCUGAGCUGCAGGAAUCAGUUUGCACAAUUUUUGUGAGGCAAUUGUAGUAUUUCAUGGAUCUGUGAAGCUAAUACCUUUGUGUAUUUAUGUUAAUAUAAUAUUAUAAUUAAUCUUCUAAAGAUGGUUUAGGACUUAGGACUGCACCUUGCAUUUGUUCUAAUAGAGAAGUUACCGGGGACUACCUUGGAUGUUUCGAUUUUCGAAGAGCUAAUUUACCAUAUCGGACUUCAAAUCUUGCAAGGCGUUCGCGUGGGAGUUAACUUGGGUUUUGCUAUUGCCUUAUAUAGCAUACCCGAGGUGCAUAAAUAAACCCACCAACCUUUCUGGUUAGGUAACCUGAAUAUUCAUAUCUGAAGGCGCGUCUUGCAUCCUUGCCACUUUGAAUAUCCCUUGCAUUGUUUUUACUAAUAAGAUUCAGCUGCCUUUAUUAUUUGAUGGUAUAAUCCACCAACGAAAAAGGGCCACAGUUACCUGAGCAGGCUUAUAUGCCAUUAACCUUUGAGAUUUUUGAUACUCGCGUCGUCUUCUUCAUGCAGGCUCUCCAUUGUCCGUAGGUUAUUUGUACAGGACAAGCCCAUCUUAGCAUGAAAGAGAGGGGGAUAUGGAUAGAAGGAGGGGAGGCAUGAGCAUGAGGAGAGGAGGUCACACCACUCUGCAGCUAUAUGCAAAGUCUGAUGUUUCAGUUCCCUGUGUGAUAAUUUCAGUACCAUCUUUAUUGUGUAUACCAGUAUUGAUUUCUUUAUUAUUAUCUUUGCCAUUUACUGAAAUUUCAAACUACAUACUGGAAUAAAUUGUGCAAGCAUUAAAUGAAGAACCAUUUUUUCCUGUAGUGUUUGCAUAGAGGUUCGUUGUUUGCCCAAGGUAAUUGAGCUUUCUUCAACGCUGGAUAUCAGUUUCAGUUAUAAAGACAUGUUCCUGCUCUGAGCAAUGGCAAAGGUUUUUAUGUUGCACUAGAUUUUAAUGCAUCUGUUAUGUAAUCUCUUAAGAUAAAGGAAUCUUCCUUCAGCUGAUGUUUGCUCUUCUCAGUGGCCUACACGUGGCUGAAUUUACUCUACGUACUAUUUGUGAGUUGCUGGUAGCUCUAUUAUAUUGCAGCUUUUAUGUCUUAUUUGUUAGUCAAUCCAUCUAUUACAAAAUUUCUUACACCCCUUUUCCCAACAAGUAUGCAUGCCCACCUCUGCUAUAACUGUCGCAUUAUGUUAUUCUUGUCACUUACAUUUUGUCCUUAUGUUAAAUAGUUGUAGUGUACAUAGGGUGUCUGAUACCUUAUUUCAAUAUUGAAAUCCACUUUUUGUCAGGUGCUUUUUCUUUGCCUCCUUGGGAGCAGGACGUUUCCUUUCUCCUGCUUGCUUUCUCCACCACCAUGACGGGAUGGUUCCUCGUGAGCACCUACUGCUGCAAGGGGAGUUGUAACUGAUUAAUGCUUGUGUGUGUUCCUUGUACAUCUUUCUAUGAUAGUGUUCUUUCUUAUUGUUUUGCUUAAACUGGGUAGCAAACUCAGACUCUUUGCAAUGCCAAUUUAAGUUUUGCAGUAUGUAUUGCACUGAUUUAAUUGUGUUGUGGCAAAAGGAAAGUGGUCCUUCGAGAUUUGA